UGGGGAAUAUUGCACAAUGGGGGAAACCCUGAUGCAGCGACGCCGCGUGAGCGAUGAAGUAUUUCGGUAUGUAAAGCUCUAUCAGCAGGGAAGAAAAUGACGGUACCUGACUAAGAAGCACCGGCUAAAUACGUGCCAGCAGCCGCGGUAAUACGUAUGGUGCAAGCGUUAUCCGGAAUUACUGGGUGUAAAGGGAGCGCAGGCGGGAAGACAAGUUGGAAGUGAAAUCUAUGGGCUCAACCCAUAAACUGCUUUCAAAACUGUUUUUCUUGAGUAGUGCAGAGGUAGGCGGAAUUCCCGGUGUAGCGGUGGAAUGCGUAGAUAUCGGGAGGAACACCAGUGGCGAAGGCGGCCUACUGGGCACCAACUGACGCUGAGGCUCGAAAGUGUGGGUAGCAAACAGGAUUAGAUACCCUGGUAGUCCACACCGUAAACGAUGAUUACUAGGUGUUGGAGGAUUGACCCCUUCAGUGCCGCAGUUAACACAAUAAGUAAUCCACCUGGGGAGUACGACCGCAAGGUUGAAACUCAAAGGAAUUGACGGGGGCCCGCACAAGCAGUGGAGUAUGUGGUUUAAUUCGACGCAACGCGAAGAACCUUACCAAGUCUUGACAUCCCUUGACAGGCAUAGAAAUAUGUUUUCUCUUCGGAGCAAGGAGACAGGUGGUGCAUGGUUGUCGUCAGCUCGUGUCGUGAGAUGUUGGGUUAAGUCCCGCAACGAGCGCAACCCUUACUGUUAGUUGCUACGCAAGAGCACUCUAGCAGGACUGCCGUUGACAAAACGGAGGAAGGUGGGGAUGACGUCAAAUCAUCAUGCCCCUUAUGACCUGGGCCUCACACGUACUACAAUGGCUGUCAACAGAGGGAUGCAAAGCCGCGAGGUGGAGCGAACCCCUAAAAGCAGUCUUAGUUCGGAUUGUAGGCUGCAACCCGCCUACAUGAAGUCGGAAUUGCUAGUAAUCGCAGAUCAGCAUGCUGCGGUGAAUACGUUCCC
rnacentral:rRNA from 1 species